CCUACGGGAGGCAGCAGUGAGGAAUAUUGGUCAAUGGACGAAAGUCUGAACCAGCCAAGUAGCGUGAAGGAUGACGGCCCUAUGGGUUGUAAACUUCUUUUAUACGGGAAUAAAAUGAGUCACGUGUGCCUUUUUGCAUGUACUGUAUGAAUAAGGAUCGGCUAACUCCGUGCCAGCAGCCGCGGUAAUACGGAGGGUCCGAGCGUUAUCCGGAUUUAUUGGGUUUAAAGGGAGCGUAGAUGGGUCGUUAAGUCAGUUGUGAAAGGUUGCGGCUCAACCGUAAAAGUGCAAUGGAUACUGGCAGUCGUGAGUGCGUGGGAGGUAGGUGGAAUUCGUGGUGUAGCGGUGAAAUGCUUAGAUAUCACGAAGAACCCCGAUGGCGAAGGCAGCUUACUAAACCGUAACUGACACUGAGGCUCGAAAGUGUGGGUAUCAAACAGGAUUAGAUACCCUAGUAGUC
rnacentral:rRNA from 1 species